GUGGGGAAUAUUGCGCAAUGGGCGAAAGCCUGACGCAGCCACGCCGCGUGUGUGAUUGAAGGCCUUCGGGUCGUAAAGCACUGUCUGGAGGGACGAAGAUCUGACGGUACCUCCAAAGAAAGCACCGGCUAACCCUGUGCCAGCAGCCGCGGUAAUACAGGGGGUGCAAGCGUUGCUCGGAAUUACUGGGCGUAAAGCGUGCGCAGGCGGCUCGCCAAGUCGGGGGUGAAAGCCCGGGGCUCAACCCCGGAAUUGCCUUCGAAACUUGCGGGCUUGAAUGCGGGAGAGGGUCGCGGAAUUCUUGGUGUAGAGGUGAAAUUCGUAGAGAUCAGGAAGAACACCGGUGGCGAAAGCGGCGACCUGGCCCGACAUUGACGCUCAUGCACGAGAGCGUGGGGAGCAAACAGGAUUAGAAACCCUGGUAGUCC
rnacentral:rRNA from 1 species